rnacentral:lncRNA from 1 species
AUGUAAUAUGAGGCAGGCGUAACCUGUGAAUGGGGACGAAGUCUGUAUGUAUUAUUUUUUUCAUUCAAAAUGUUGAUAAAAGAAACGAAUAUACGUGCGUAACGUUCCCGAUUUUGGUUCUGUUGUUAGGGAAUUAGCUGUGACGUUCUUUAAGUUAUGACGUCAUAUUCGAUGUAAACAAAAGAAACGCUUUCAUCAGGUAACGUAACGGUUUUUUUUCAUAUCAAACAAUUAUUAAAAUUGAAUUUGUAUUGAGAUCCAAUCUUAUGUUUUACUAGACUGAUAAAUAUAAAAAAAAUAUCAAAGUCUCAUGCAAACAAGACAGAUUUCUGCGCAAAUGCGGGAAAACCGGAACAGGAACUAGAUCUGAAAAAAAACGUUAACGAUUUUGAGUUCAUUAGUACAAUGAAAAAUUCGGGAAAUUUUCCCAGAUUUUUUUUUUUUUUUUUUUUUUAUUGAUUUUUCUACCGUAAUUGGGGACUUCGUCCCCAUAU